CGCUGGCGGCGUGCUUAACACAUGCAAGUCGAACGGUGAUGGAGGGCUUGCCCUUCUGAUCAGUGGCGAACGGGUGAGUAACACGUGAGUAACCUGCCCUUCACUCUGGGAUAACGCUGGGAAACUGGUGCUAAUACUGGAUAUGACCCAUACAGGCAUCUGUUGUGGGUGGAAAGAUUUAUUGGUGGGGGAUGGACUCGCGGCCUAUCAGCUUGUUGGUGAGGUAAUGGCUUACCAAGGCGACGACGGGUAGCCGGCCUGAGAGGGCGAUCGGCCACACUGGGACUGAGACACGGCCCAGACUCCUACGGGAGGCAGCAGUGGGGAAUAUUGCACAAUGGGCGAAAGCCUGAUGCAGCGACGCCGCGUGAGGGAUGAAGGCCUUCGGGUUGUAAACCUCUUUCAGCAGGGAAGAAGCGCCCAGGUUUUCUUGGGUGUGACGGUACCUGCAGAAGAAGCACCGGCUAACUACGUGCCAGCAGCCGCGGUAAUACGUAGGGUGCGAGCGUUGUCCGGAAUUAUUGGGCGUAAAGAGCUUGUAGGCGGUUUGUCGCGUCUGCUGUGAAAUUUCGGGGCUCAACCCCGAACUUGCAGUGGGUACGGGCAGACUAGAGUGUGGUAGGGGAGACUGGAAUUCCUGGUGUAGCGGUGAAAUGCGCAGAUAUCAGGAGGAACACCGAUAGCGAAGGCAGGUCUCUGGGCCACUACUGACGCUGAGAAGCGAAAGCAUGGGGAGCGAACAGGAUUAGAUACCCUGGUAGUCCAUGCCGUAAACGUUGGGAACUAGGUGUGGGCCUCAUUCCACGAGGUCCGUGCCGCAGCUAACGCA
rnacentral:rRNA from 1 species